UCCGCCAUUGUUUGACAGGUCUCGUUGCUAACCAGACGCUUUCCUGGUUACCUACUCAACAAAAAAACGACAGAAAGAAACGUCCCACUUUCGUAAGGAUUAUUUCGAAGCCUUUCAGCUGCACAGAGAGCAUGAAAGAGGACAGACGUUGUAGCCAGGCUUAAAAAUGAAGCCAAACUACUGCAACAUCGUCUUUGCCAGUGUGAAAUGGCCUGGUGCUGAAGAGAAUCUGUUCCACGACUGCAGCAACACAGAUUUGCUACAAGACAAGAGAAGCUGAGAUCUCGCAUGAUGACGCAGCAUCCCUAGGAUGUACAAAGACUACAGAUCAAGAAGAGUCACAGG